UCUGGUUGAUCCUGCCUGAACUGAUGUGUUCAUUUCAAAGAUUAAGCCAUGCAUGUAUAAGUAUAAUCUGCCAGUCAGAGAAACUGCGUACGGCUCAUUACACCAGCCUUAAUUUACUUGACCUUGACACCCUACUUGGAUAACUGUGGUAAUUCUAGAGCUAAUACAUGCACCAAAGCUCCAAUCUCCCCAGAGCGGAGCGCAUUUGUUCGCCACAAAACCAAGCGCCUCAGGGCGUUCAGUGUUGACUCAGAACAACUAAGCUGAUCGCACGGUCUUGCACCGGCGACGUGUCUUUCAAGUGUCUGCCUUAUCAACUUUCGAUGGUAGUGUAUCUGACUACCAUGGUGAUGACGGGUAACGGAGGAUAAGGGUUCGACUCCGGAGAAGGGGCCUGAGAAAUGGCCACUACGUCUAAGGAUGGCAGCAGGCGCGCAAAUUACCCACUCUCGACGCGAGGAGGUAGUGACGAGAAAUAACGAGACCGUUCUCAUCUGAGGCCGGUCAUCGGAAUGGGUACAAUUUAAACCCUUUAACGAGUAUCUAUGAGAGGGCAAGUCUGGUGCCAGCAGCCGCGGUAAUUCCAGCUCUCAAAAUGCAUAGAAUUAUUGCUGCGGUUAAAAAGCUCGUAGUUGGAUCUGUGCUGAGCGACCGGUCUGCCCACUGGGCACGCACUGGCUCGCCCGGCUUUCCCUGCCGGUCUCUCUCUGACGUUGGUUUUAACCGGCUGGCGUCAGUGGGCUGGCGAGUUUACUUUGAACAAAUCAGAGUGCUUCAAACAGGCGUCUCGCCUGAAUGUUCGUGCAUGGAAUAAUAGAAGAGGAUCACGGUCCGAUUUUAUUGGUUUUGCUGACCGAGAUAAUGGUUAACAGAGACAAACGGGGCCAUUCGUAUUGCUACGUGAGAGGUGAAAUUCUUGGACCGUAGCAAGACGGACUACAGCGAAAGCAUUUGGCAAGAAUGUCUUCAUUAAUCAAGAACGAAAGUCAGAGGUUCGAAGGCGAUCAGAUACCGCCCUAGUUCUGACCGUAAACGAUGCCAACUAGCGAUCCGCCGGCGGAUUCAUUCGCCCUGGUGGGGAGCUUCCCGGAAACGAAAGUCUUCCGGUUCCGGGGGAAGUAUGGUUGCAAAGCUGAAACUUAAAGGAAUUGACGGAAGGGCACCACCAGGAGUGGAGCCUGCGGCUUAAUUUGACUCAACACGGGGAAACUCACCCGGCCCGGACACCGUAAGGAUUGACAGAUUGAUAGCUUUUUCAUGAUUCGGUGGAUGGUGGUGCAUGGCCGUUCUUAGUUCGUGGAGCGAUUUGUCUGGUUUAUUCCGAUAACGAGCGAGACUCUGGCCUACUAAAUAGUUGGCACAUUGCCACUGUGUGCACAACUUCUUAGAGGGAUUUUCGGUGUUCAGCCGCACGAAAUUGAGCAAUAACAGGUCUGUGAUGCCCUUAGAUGUCCGGGGCUGCACGCGCGCUACACUGGCAAAAUCAGCGUGCUUGUCCUCCCCCGAAAGGGGUUGGUAAACCGAUGAAAAUUUGCCGUGAUUGGGAUCGGACAUUGCAAUUAUUGUCCGUGAACGAGGAAUCCCUUGUAAGGGCGAGUCAUCAACUCGUCCUGAAUACGUCCCUGCCCUUUGUACACACCGCCCGUCGCUGCCCGGGACUGAGCCAUUUCGAGAAAACCGGGGAUUGUUGGCCUGACGGCUCUCGGGUCGUCUAGUCGAUGAGAACCGGCUUAAUCGCACUGGUUUGAACCGGGCAAAAGUCGUAACAAGGUAGCUGUAGGUGAACCUGCUGCUG
rnacentral:rRNA from 1 species